rnacentral:rRNA from 1 species
GAUGAACGCUGGCGGCGUGCCUAAUACAUGCAAGUCGAGCGAACAGACGAGGAGCUUGCUCCUCUGACGUUAGCGGCGGACGGGUGAGUAACACGUGGAUAACCUACCUAUAAGACUGGGAUAACUUCGGGGAAACCGGAGCUAAUACCGGAUAAUAUAUUGAACCGCAUGGUUCAAUAGUGAAAGACGGUUUUGCUGUCACUUAUAGAUGGAUCCGCGCCGCAUUAGCUAGUUGGUAAGGUAACGGCUUACCAAGGCAACGAUGCGUAGCCGACCUGAGAGGGUGAUCGGCCACACUGGAACUGAGACACGGUCCAGACUCCUACGGGAGGCAGCAGUAGGGAAUCUUCCGCAAUGGGCGAAAGCCUGACGGAGCAACGCCGCGUGAGUGAUGAAGGUCUUCGGAUCGUAAAACUCUGUUAUUAGGGAAGAACAAAUGUGUAAGUAACUAUGCACGUCUUGACGGUACCUAAUCAGAAAGCCACGGCUAACUACGUG